rnacentral:rRNA from 1 species
UACGUAGGGUGCAAGCGUUGUCCGGAAUUAUUGGGCGUAAAGAGCUUGUAGGCGGUUUGUCGCGUCUGCUGUGAAAUUUCGGGGCUCAACCCCGAACUUGCAGUGGGUACGGGCAGACUAGAGUGUGGUAGGGGAGACUGGAAUUCCUGGUGUAGCGGUGAAAUGCGUAGAGAUCGGGAGGAACACCAAAGGCGAAAGCACUCUGCUGGGCCGCGACUGACACUGAGAGACGAAAGCGAGGGGAGCAAAUGGG